rnacentral:rRNA from 1 species
GACGAACGCUGGCGGCGUGCUUAACACAUGCAAGUCGAACGGUGAAGGGGUCUGCUUUUGUGGGCCCUGGAUGAGUGGCGAACGGGUGAGUAACACGUGAGUAACCUGCCCCCUUCUUCUGGAUAACCGCAUGAAAGUGUGGCUAAUACGGGAUAUUCUGGGUCUGUCGCAUGAUGGGUCUGGGAAAGAUUGCGCCUUUGGGUGUUUUUGGUGGGGGAUGGGCUCGCGGCCUAUCAGCUUGUUGGUGGGGUGAUGGCCUACCAAGGCGGUGACGGGUAGCCGGCCGGAGAGGGUGGACGGUCACACUGGGACUGAGACACGGCCAAGACUCCUACGGGAGGCAGCAGUGGGGAAUAUUGCACAAUGGGCGCAAGCCUGAUGCAGCGACGCCGCGUGAGGGAUGGAGGCCUUCGGGUUGUAAACCUCUUUCGCCAGUGAAGCAGGCCUGCUCCUUGUGGGUGGGUUGACGGUAGCUGGAUAAGAAGCGCCGGCUAACUACGUG